rnacentral:rRNA from 1 species
AUUGAACGCUGGCGGCAUGCCUUACACAUGCAAGUCGAACGGCAGCACGGGAGCAAUCCUGGUGGCGAGUGGCGAACGGGUGAGUAAUAUAUCGGAACGUGCCCAGUCGUGGGGGAUAACGUAGCGAAAGCUACGCUAAUACCGCAUACGAUCUAUGGAUGAAAGCGGGGGAUCGCAAGACCUCGCGCGAUUGGAGCGGCCGAUAUCAGAUUAGGUAGUUGGUGGGGUAAAGGCUCACCAAGCCAACGAUCUGUAGCUGGUCUGAGAGGACGACCAGCCACACUGGAACUGAGACACGGUCCAGACUCCUACGGGAGGCAGCAGUGGGGAAUUUUUGGACAAUGGACGCAAGUCUGAUCCAGCCAUUCCGCGUGCAGGAUGAAGGCCCUCGGGUUGUAAACUGCUUUUGUACGGAACGAAACGGUGAGCUCUAAUACAGUUUGCUAAUGACGGUACCGUAAGAAUAAGCACCGGCUAACUACGU